rnacentral:rRNA from 1 species
GGGUUGUGAGGUUAAGCGACUAAGCGUACACGGUGGAUGCCCUGGCAGUCAGAGGCGAUGAAGGACGUGCUAAUCUGCGAAAAGCGUCGGUAAGGUGAUAUGAACCGUUAUAACCGGCGAUGUCCGAAUGGGGAAACCCAGUGCAAUUCGUUGCACUAUCGUUAACUGAAUACAUAGGUUAACGAGGCGAACCGGGGGAACUGAAACAUCUAAGUACCCCGAGGAAAAGAAAUCAACCGAGAUUCCCCCAGUAGCGGCGAGCGAACGGGGAGCAGCCCAGAGUCUGAAUCAGCUUGUGUGUUAGUGGAACGGUCUGGAAAGUCCGACGGUACAGGGUGAUAGUCCCGUACACCAAAAUGCACAGGUUGUGAACUCGAAGAGUAGGGCGGGACACGUGGUAUCCUGUCUGAAUAUGGGGGGACCAUCCUCCAAGGCUAAAUACUCCUGACUGACCGAUAGUGAACCAGUACCGUGAGGGAAAGGCGAAAAGAACCCCGGCGAGGGGAGUGAAAAAGAACCUGAAACCGUGUACGUACAAGCAGUGGGAGCACCUUCGGGUGUGACUGCGUACCUUUUGUAUAAUGGGUCAGCGACUUAUAUUCUGUAGCAAGGUUAACCGUAUAGGGGAGCCGCAGGGAAACCGAGUCUUAACUGGGCGUUAAGUUGCAGGGUAUAGACCCGAAACCCGGUGAUCUAGCCAUGGGCAGGUUGAAGGUUGGGUAACACUAACUGGAGGACCGAACCGACUAAUGUUGAAAAAUUAGCGGAUGACUUGUGGCUGGGGGUGAAAGGCCAAUCAAACCGGGAGAUAGCUGGUUCUCCCCGAAAGCUAUUUAGGUAGCGCCUCGUGAACUCAUCUUCGGGGGUAGAGCACUGUUUCGGCUAGGGGGUCAUCCCGACUUACCAACCCGAUGCAAACUACGAAUACCGAAGAAUGUUAUCACGGGAGACACACGGCGGGUGCUAACGUCCGUCGUGAAGAGGGAAACAACCCAGACCGCCAGCUAAGGUCCCAAAGUCAUGGUUAAGUGGGAAACGAUGUGGGAAGGCACAGACAGCCAGGAUGUUGGCUUAGAAGCAGCCAUCAUUUAAAGAAAGCGUAAUAGCUCACUGGUCGAGUCGGCCUGCGCGGAAGAUGUAACGGGGCUAAACCAUGCACCGAAGCUGCGGCAGCGACACUAUGUGUUGUUGGGUAGGGGAGCGUUCUGUAAGCCUGCGAAGGUGUGCUGUGAGGCAUGCUGGAGGUAUCAGAAGUGCGAAUGCUGACAUAAGUAACGAUAAAGCGGGUGAAAAGCCCGCUCGCCGGAAGACCAAGGGUUCCUGUCCAACGUUAAUCGGGGCAGGGUGAGUCGACCCCUAAGGCGAGGCCGAAAGGCGUAGUCGAUGGGAAACAGGUUAAUAUUCCUGUACUUGGUGUUACUGCGAAGGGGGGACGGAGAAGGCUAUGUUAGCCGGGCGACGGUUGUCCCGGUUUAAGCAUGUAGGCUGGUUAUCCAGGCAAAUCCGGAUAAUCAAGGCUGAGGUGUGAUGACGAGGCACUACGGUGCUGAAGUAACAAAUGCCCUGCUUCCAGGAAAAGCCUCUAAGCAUCAGGUAACAUCAAAUCGUACCCCAAACCGACACAGGUGGUCAGGUAGAGAAUACCAAGGCGCUUGAGAGAACUCGGGUGAAGGAACUAGGCAAAAUGGUGCCGUAACUUCGGGAGAAGGCACGCUGGUGUGUAGGUGAAGUCCCUGCGGAUGGAGCUGAGACCAGUCGAAGAUACCAGCUGGCUGCAACUGUUUAUUAAAAACACAGCACUGUGCAAACACGAAAGUGGACGUAUACGGUGUGACGCCUGCCCGGUGCCGGAAGGUUAAUUGAUGGGGUUAUCCGUAAGGAGAAGCUCUUGAUCGAAGCCCCGGUAAACGGCGGCCGUAACUAUAACGGUCCUAAGGUAGCGAAAUUCCUUGUCGGGUAAGUUCCGACCUGCACGAAUGGCGUAAUGAUGGCCAGGCUGUCUCCACCCGAGACUCAGUGAAAUUGAACUCGCUGUGAAGAUGCAGUGUACCCGCGGCAAGACGGAAAGACCCCGUGAACCUUUACUAUAGCUUGACACUGAACAUUGAGCCUUGAUGUGUAGGAUAGGUGGGAGGCUUUGAAGCGUGGACGCCAGUCUGCGUGGAGCCAACCUUGAAAUACCACCCUUUAAUGUUUGAUGUUCUAACGUUGGCCCCUGACCGGGGUUGCGGACAGUGUCUGGUGGGUAGUUUGACUGGGGCGGUCUCCUCCCAAAGCGUAACGGAGGAGCACGAAGGUUAGCUAAUCCUGGUCGGACAUCAGGAGGUUAGUGCAAUGGCAUAAGCUAGCUUGACUGCGAGCGUGACGGCGCGAGCAGGUGCGAAAGCAGGUCAUAGUGAUCCGGUGGUUCUGAAUGGAAGGGCCAUCGCUCAACGGAUAAAAGGUACUCCGGGGAUAACAGGCUGAUACCGCCCAAGAGUUCAUAUCGACGGCGGUGUUUGGCACCUCGAUGUCGGCUCAUCACAUCCUGGGGCUGAAGUAGGUCCCAAGGGUAUGGCUGUUCGCCAUUUAAAGUGGUACGCGAGCUGGGUUUAGAACGUCGUGAGACAGUUCGGUCCCUAUCUGCCGUGGGCGCUGGAGAAUUGAGGGGGGCUGCUCCUAGUACGAGAGGACCGGAGUGGACGCAUCACUGGUGUUCGGGUUGUCAUGCCAAUGGCACUGCCCGGUAGCUAAAUGCGGAAGAGAUAAGUGCUGAAAGCAUCUAAGCACGAAACUUGCCCCGAGAUGAGUUCUCCCUGAGACUNNNNNNNNNNNNNNNNNNNNNNNNNNNNNNNGACGUUGAUAGGCCGGGUGUGUAAGCGCAGCGAUGCGUUGAGCUAACCGGUACUAAUGAACCGUGAGGCUUAACCUUACAACGCCGAAG